rnacentral:tRNA from 1 species
GACAGCUUAGGUUAAUUAAACCAUGAGCCUUCAAAGCCCAAAACAAGAGCUAAGCCCUCCUAGCUGUUG